UGUGUGUUCUACUUCAUACCUUUCAGACUGUCAGUACAGUUGAAAGUAUGGAUUAUAUCCCUCGCACUCCGCGCAGGUUAAGUAAUAAUAACAACUAAAUCACGCAGGUGACGUGACAGCGUGGGAGGACAUAUAAAACCCGAAUCACGGGGCUCUGGGCCUGGUCGGGUGUCCAUAGUAUAUCCCUCGCGUCCGACUCAUUGAAGAAGAACUCCUCGUCCAAUUUGAGACCCAGGUUCGUAACCGGGUCCUGACAUGCCCUGCACCUUCUGAAGAUUUUACAAGGUCAACGUCGUAUCCUGCCACACCAUGAGCUCUGCCGUUCUUCCAGUGGUAGUGGUGCAUUAAUCAGAGAAAUAAGUCUAAUUUAUGCAACAGAACACACCAGAAGACUAGGACUACCUAUCAUAUGUUGCAGAGAUGGAGAUGAAGAUAACCAUCCUGGUACUAAUUUUGGGAGUCUCUCUCACGGCUGCAGCCUUCGAAUUGAAAGCCAUGGUUGGUCAGGAGGGCAGGUUGAGAUGGGAACAUGGUGUGGAGAAUGCUAACCGCAUCAGGUGGGAACACGAUAAAAGACAGAUUGCCUACUGGGCUGACAGCACCUUCAAGCUGGAACCAGGUUACAAUCUGACUAGUGGGGAAAGCUGGACCACCCUGGUAAUCAACAAUGUCACCAAGGAAGAUGCUGGGAACAACACCUGUCAGGCGCACAUCAUAUUCGGCCCUCCUGAGGCGACCGGGAGGUCGCUCUUGACUCAUCACUACUCCAGCCCUUUUGAUUUUAGUGUGCACUUGUUCAUUUCUCUUUGUGCAUUUAAGGGACAGAUCUAAAUUUACUGGGGGGUGGGGGACACUGGUCCAACUCAAGGUGUCAUUAAAAAAAUGCACCCCCUCCCCAAUGUUAAAAAUAUUUUUACAAGACCCUCCAAUUGUACUGUAAAAUAAAUGUAACACCCUCCUCUUUAAUAGAAUUAUCUCAAAAUAAUGUUAAUGACCACAAAUAACAAGAACUGUAGUGACCCUGUAUUUAUAAACAUUGAUAUCAGCUUUGCCACUUCAGCAUGCUUUCGUGGCACAGUCGAUGCCACGCAGGGCUAUGGGCCAGAAGGUUGCGGGUUCGACCGACCACCACAGAGGAGCUCACUCUCCCUGCCUGUUUCAUUACUUCACGAUCAGAGCCGGUUGUAGACAAUGAUCAGCAAGGAGGGAAUCAGAUUUUCAACAUUUUGAUGUCAUAUUUAUAAUUAUAUAAAAUACAUGCAACUAAUUCUCCACCAAAAUAUUUCUGUGCCAAUGCACCACACAACCAAUAAACAAAAUAUACCAAUACACAUACACCUUAGCCAAAUAUAUUUAAACUCAGUUGUUCACAAUUCCUGACAUUUAAUCCAAGUAAAAAUUCCCUGUCUUAGAUCAGUUAGGAUCACCACUUUAUUUUAAGAAUGUGUUAUGUCAGAAUAAUAGUAGAGAGAAUGCUUUAUUUCAGCUUUUAUUUAUUUCAUCACAUUCCCAGUGGGUCAGACGUUUGCAUACACUCAAUUAGUAUUUGGUAGCAUUGCCUUUAAAUUGUUUAACUUGAGCCAAACGUUUUGGGUAGCCUUCCACAAGCUCCCCACAAUAAGUUGGGUGAAUUUUGGCCCAUUCCUCCUGACAGAGCUGGUGUAACUGAGUCAGGUUUGUAGGCCUCCUUGCUUGCACACGCUUUUUCAGUUCUGCCCACAAAUUUAUAGGAUUGAGGCCAGGGCUUUGUGAUGGCCACUCCAAUAGCUUGACUUAGUUGUCCUUAAGCCAUUUUGCCACAACUUUGGGAGUAUGCUUGGGGUCAUUGUCCAUUUGGAAGCCCCAUUUGCGACCAAGCUUUAACUUCCUGACUGAUGUCUUGAGAUGUUGCUUCAAUAUAUCCACAUAAUUUCCUGCCUCCUGAUGCCAUAUAUUUUGUGAAGUGCACCAGCCCCUCCUACAGCAAAGCACCCCACAACAUGAUGCUGCUACCCCCGUGCAUCACGUUUGGGAGGGUGGUUCUUCAGCUUGCAAGCCUCCCUCGUUUUUCCUCCAAACAUAACGAUGGUCACUGUGGCCAAACAGUUCUAUUUUUGUUUCAUCAGACCAGAGGACAUUUCUCCAAAAAGUAAGAUCUUUGUCCCCAUGUGCAGUUGCAAACUGUAGUCUGGCUUUUAUUAAUGGCGGUUUUGGAGCAGUGGCUUCUUCCUUGCUGAGCGGCCUUUCCAGUUAUGUUGACAUAGGACUCGUUUUACUGUGGAUAUAGAUACUUUUGUACCGUUUUCCACCAGCAUCUUCACAAGGUCCUUUGCUCUUGUUCUGAGAUUGAUUUGCACUUUUCACCCCAAAGUACGUUCAUCUCUAGGAGACAGAAUACGUCUCCUUCCUGAGCGGUAUGACGGCUGCGUGGUCCCAUGGUGUUUAUACUUGAAUACUAUUGUUUGUUCAGAUGAACGUGGUACCUUCAGGCAUUUGGAAAUUUCUCCAAAGGAUGAACCAGACUUGUGGAGGUCUACAAAAAAAAAUUCUGAGGUCUUGGCUGAUUUUUUUUUUUUUCCCCAUGAUGUCAAGCUAAUAUUAACUGAGUUUGAAGGUAGGCCUUGAAAUACAUCCACAGGUACACCUCCAAUUGACUCAAAUGAUUUCAGAAGCUUCUAAAGCCAUCAUAAACUUUCUGUCCAAAAAUGAUGCAGAAAAAUUAAUCCAUGCUUUUGUUACUUCUAGGUUAGACUACUGCAAUGCUCUACUUUCCAGCUACCCGGAUAAAGCACUAAAUAAACUUCUGCUAGAAUCCUGACUAGAACCCAAAAAAUUAUAUCAUAUUACUCCAGUGCUAGCCUCCAUACACUGGCUUCCUGUCAAGGCAAGGUCUGAUUUCAAGGUUUUAGUGCCAUGUACGCCGGCCCGAGGAGACGCACUGGAGACCAGAUGCGUAGAGCCAGCUUCAUGGCACCUGGCUCGAUGCCCACUCUAGCCCGGCCGACGGGCUAUGCACACGCACCGGGGACACCUUGCGCUCCACCGCAUAACACAGUGCCUGCCUGGUCCCUCUCGCUCUCCGGUAAGCACGGGGAGUUGGCGCAGGCCUCCUACCUGCCUUAGCCACACUCCCCGUGUGCCACACUCCCCAUACAUUUGUGGGGCUGCCUCUCGGGCUUCCUUGCCAGCCGUGUUCCCUCGUAUCGCUGGCUCCUCUCUCCGGCUGCCUCUGCUCUCCUAGCUGCCUCCACCUGUUCCCAUGGGAGGCGAUCCCUUCCAGCCAGGAUCUCCUCCCAUGUGUAGCAACCCUUGCCGCCCAAAACGUCCUCCCAUGUCCAGGAGUCCUGAAAGUCGCUGCUACGCGUUACCACACUGCUUGGUCCUUUUGUGAUGGGUGGUUCUGUAAGGGUUGUCGUCGGUGGAAGAAGGAGAGGACCAAAGUGCAGCGUUGUUAGUGUUCAUCUUUUUAAUAAGAAACUGAACACUUCAAAAAUACAAAACAACAAAGUGACAACCGAAACAGUUCUGUCUGAUGCAUACCACACAUAGACUGAAAAUAACCACCCACAAAACACAAAGGAAACAGGCUACCUAAAUAUGGUUCUCAAUCAGGGACAACGAAAGACAGCUGCCUCUGAUUGAGAACCAUAUCAGGCCAAACACAGAAAUAGAAAAUAUAGAAAAACUAACAUAGACUGCCCACCCCAACUCACCCCUGACCAUACUAAAUAAAGACAAUACAAAGGAAUAAAGGUCAGAACGUGACAGUGACAGAAUGUAAACUUAUGACCCACUGGAAUUGUGAUACAGUGAGUUAUAAGAGAAAUAAUCAGUUGUAAACAAUUGUUGGAAAAAUUACUUGUGUCAUGUACACAGUAGAUGUCUUAACUAACUUGCCAAAAAUAUAGUUUGUUAAAAUUAACAAGAACUUUGUGGAGUGGUUGAAAAAUGUGUUUUAAUGACUCAAACCUAAGUGUAUGUAAACUUCCGACUUCAACUGUAUAUAUAUGUACUAGCCUACCUCUUUCAUGUAAUUAGCCAGUUAUUAGCCUUAUAUUUACACUACCAAAAGUUUACACAAGACCAAAAUUUGUGGACAACUGCUUGCCAAACAUCUCAUUCCAAAAUAAUGGGCAUUAAUUCAUAUGGAGUUGCUACCCCCUUUGCUGCCAUAACAGCCUCCACUCUUCUGUGAAGGCUUUCCACUAGAUGUUGGAACAUUGCUGCGUGGACUCGCUUCCAUUCAGUCACAAGAGCAUUAGUGAUUUCACGCACUGAUGUUGAUCAAUCAGGCCUGGUUCGUAGUCGGCAUUCCAAUUCAUCCCAAAGGUGUUCGAUGGGGUUGAGGUCAGGGCUCUUUGCAGGCCAGUCAAGUUCUUCCAAACCAUUUCUGUAUGGACAUCGCUUUGUGCACGGGGUAAUUGUCAUGCUGAAGCAGAAAGGGCCUUCCCCAAAUGGUUGCCACAAAGUUGGAAGCACAGAAUUAUCUAGAAUGUCAUUGUAUGCUGUAGUAUUCAGAUUUUCCUUCACUGGAACUAAGUGGCCUAGCCCGAACCAUGAAAAACAGCCCCAGACCAUUAUUCCCCCUCCACCAAAUGUUAUAGUUGGCAAUAUGCAUUGGGGCAGGUAGCGUUCUCCUGGCAUCCGCCUAACCCAGAUUCGUCAUUCAGACUACCAGAUGGUGAAGUGUGAUUCAUCACUCCAGAGAACGCGUUUAUACUGCUCCAGAGUCCAAUGGUUGGCGAGCUUUACACCACUCCAGCCGAUGGAAACCAAUUUCAUGAAGCUCCCGACAAAACAGUUAUUGUGCUGACUUUGCUUAAAAACGCUCCUUAGCUGUCUCAGGAAAAACAAGACUAGAUUUUUUGUUGUUGUUGCAUUCCUUAUACUAAUUGACUAUUGGAAGAGGGAUGCUAGCUCUUGUUUGCUGAAUGUUAAAUACAAGCCAAUAGAACUCACAGCCACGGGCCGAGGAGUUUGAUAGAAGAGAGAACGUGGGAUGGCGGUAGGCUGUAGCAGUUAUUUGUUCAGACCCGUAAUCAUUAAAUCUUAGCGAAGAUAAAAUAUUUCCGUCUACAUCUCAUUCUAGUCCUAUAUUAUUCAAGUAUGUCAUUACAAUGAUGAAGAUAAGGAAAACAAAACGUAUUCAAUGUAACUGUUGAAAGCGAGUAAGGAAUGAAGAAAUAGAAAGAGGAGGCAGGCUAAUACGCACAUCGCACAACAUUAGGGGGGAUAUGAAAGGUAUGCAUGCCUCAGCCUACUAAUUAUACGUUUUAUUAUAUUUCAACAUUUUAAAUCAAAUGUGUUAGCCUAUAAUUGUAACGUUGUUGGCCGCCUGCACCAGCAUCACACGUUCUCUCCCAGAUUCUUGGUCUGAAAGAGUGCUUAAUCCCAGUCCAUAUAAUACAGUUUAAUACAAUACUACCACACUCAAAAAGAUGAGUUUAUUGGAGUUUGUUUCAUUUACUUACACAGGAGAGCAUAGCUGCAUCUAUGGGUUUU